CUCGGAACUGCAUUCAGCCGCGUCUGCCAUACAGGGUCAUUCUCACGGUAGACUCGGGGUAUGCCUCGCUGUCAGGUGCGUCCACUGUACAGUUCCAUAUGCCAACGAUGUGCGUACCAAACUAAUUGCCCCAAGACAAUCUUUCAUAGAGCCACGGAGAUUUCUGCCCUGACCAGAGCUGCGGGAAUUACAGAUAGAAGGGGCCAAGGCCACCACUCGAGUCCCCUUCUUGAAAGGGAGAUCACAUUUAAAAACAAGUAAAAUUAUACUGGUUUGGGUUGAAAGGGAGAGGGCUGUUUUCAGAGUGAGGAGCCUCAAAAUGUCCUGUGACAUCGCCUGAAUCGCUUCUGAAAAGUCACAUUUGGAAAACUCCUUCCCUUGACUAAAGCUGUUCCUUAUGAAGGAGAAUGAAAUGGCAAGUAUGUGGAAUUCACUGGGACAAAUAGAUAAUAUAUGCUACUUUAACUGCUAUUUCCCUUAAUUUCAGUUAUAAAAUAUAUUCUGGAGAUUCUCAAUGGUAGGAGGAGAUGAAUGAAGUAAAGAAAAUAACAUUCUUUUAAUUUCUGUUAAUGAUAUAACCAGGAGCGGAGUUCCUUGCCAGCAAAUUAGCAAUUUUUGAGAAAAAAUAUUUCUUGCAAAUUUUGAUGUUUCCUCUACUGAUUGCUUUAACCAUGAGAUGUGCUAUUAUUUACAUUGUGGCAGCUUUAAUUCAUCAGUGAAAAUUAUUUUUGGCAUUUAGUUGCAAGAAAACCACCUCUACUCCAUGCAUUCAAAAACUCACAAUUAUUUCUGAAAGAAUAUAAUAUUGUAUGUAGUGACUUGUGUGUGUGCGUGUGUUUUACUAUGAAUAUUAGGUUGGUGCAAAAGUAGUUGCGGUUUUUGCCAUUACAUUCAGUGGCAAAAACCACAAUUACUUUUGCACCAACCCAAUUGUAAUCCUGGGUUGGAAUAGGGAAUAGUGGAAUCUUGGAAUAGGGAAUAGUGGGGUCAGCAGAUGAACCAAGAGGCAUAAGAUCAUUUGUUAGGCCUUAGACUAAGAUUUACAUCAUAAAAAUAGAUAUCUGGAC
rnacentral:lncRNA from 1 species